GGUCCCAUAGCUCAGUUGGUAGAGCACCACCUUGACAUGGUGGUGGUCAGAGGUUCAAGUCCUCUUGGGGCCA
rnacentral:tRNA from 1 species